rnacentral:rRNA from 1 species
UAGAUCUCCCACCCGUGUUAUUAUACUAUUGUUGCUUUGGCGGGCCCGCCUCGGCCACCGGCUCGCGCUGGUGAGCGCCCGCCAGAGGACCCCAAACUCUGAAAUUUAGUGUCGUCUGAGUACUAUUUUAAUAGUUAAAACUUUCAACAACGGAUCUCUUGGUUCUGGCAUCGAUGAAGAACGCAGCGAAAUGCGAUAAGUAAUGUGAAUUGCAGAAUUCAGUGAAUCAUCGAAUCUUUGAACGCACAUUGCGCCCCUUGGUAUUCCGGGGGGCAUGCCUGUUCGAGCGUCAUUACAACCCUCAAGCUCUGCUUGGUAUUGGGCCUCCCCGGGAACGGGGUGCCCUAAAAUCAGUGGCGGUGCCGUCUGGCUCUAAGCGUAGUAAAUCUCUCGCUCUGGAGACCCGGUGGAUGCUUGCCAGUAACCCCCAAUU